CACGUGGGAACGUGCCUUUAGGUUCGGAAUAACUCAGGGAAACUUGUGCUAAUACCGGAUGUGCCCUUCGGGGGAAAGAUUUAUCGCCUUUAGAGCGGCCCGCGUCUGAUUAGCUAGUUGGUGAGGUAAUGGCUCACCAAGGCUACGAUCAGUAGCUGGUCUGAGAGGAUGACCAGCCACAUUGGGACUGAGACACGGCCCAAACUCCUACGGGAGGCAGCAGUGGGGAAUCUUGCGCAAUGGGCGAAAGCCUGACGCAGCCAUGCCGCGUGAAUGAUGAAGGUCUUAGGAUUGUAAAAUUCUUUCACCGGGGACGAUAAUGACGGUACCCGGAGAAGAAGCCCCGGCUAACUUCGUGCCAGCAGCCGCGGUAAUACGAAGGGGGCUAGCGUUGCUCGGAAUUACUGGGCGUAAAGGGAGCGUAGGCGGACAUUUAAGUCAGGGGUGAAAUCCCGGGGCUCAACCUCGGAACUGCCCUUGAUACUGGAUGUCUUGAGUGUGAGAGAGGUAUGUGGAACUCC
rnacentral:rRNA from 1 species